GUAAAUAAGUAUAUUUGAAUGUUAAUUCUUUUCAAACUAAGAUAGUAAAAUUAAAAUUUUAGGAAAAAAAGAUAUUUAUUAUUUCUUGUUCUCAAGAAGUACUUUCAUUAUUGACAAUAUCGAAACAUUUUAUUAUUAAAAGUCGAGAACAAUUAAAACCCACGUUCAUGUUUAUAUGAAAGUACUUUAAAAAUGAAGGUAUAUUACUCUUGAGAAGAAUUAAUAUUUUUUAACAAACUUGGUAUACGACUCAUAAUAUUUGACAUCUGAUUCUUUCAUUUUGAUUUUAGGACAUGCAAGUUUUUAUCAAUAAUACAUUUUUCCCUAAACUGAAUAAAAAAGUUUCCAUAUGAUUCCAAGGUUUUAAGACAUACUGAUAUUGUUUUCCUGAUAUUAUAAAAUACUUGUUAAUAUCUACUGAUAUAAACUAAAGCUAAUAGUGUAGUUUAACAUUCAGUUGAGUCCACGAUUAUUUACCCGUGCGUCAUUAAUACCUGACGAGAUAAAACAUACUUUUGAUCUAGCAUCAUUCUCUUCCACGCAUGAAACUAAAGACAAACCAGCAACCGCCUGUUAUUAAGUAAAAACACAUGUUUUUUUAUGAACGCACUAGACUAACUCUAUUGCGCACAAUAGAGAAAAAAUUUUCUAGAGGAUUUUGGUUCAGAAAA
rnacentral:lncRNA from 1 species